AUUGAACGCUGGCGGCAGGCUUAACACAUGCAAGUCGAGCGGAGCGAGGGUGCUUGCACCUUAGCUUAGCGGCGGACGGGUGAGUAAUGCUUAGGAAUCUGCCUAUUAGUGGGGGACAACAUUCCGAAAGGAAUGCUAAUACCGCAUACGCACUACGGGGGAAAGCAGGGGAUCUUCGGACCUUGCGCUAAUAGAUGAGCCUAAGUCGGAUUAGCUAGUUGGUGGGGUAAAGGCCUACCAAGGCGACGAUCUGUAGCGGGUCUGAGAGGAUGAUCCGCCACACUGGGACUGAGACACGGCCCAGACUCCUACGGGAGGCAGCAGUGGGGAAUAUUGGACAAUGGGCGGAAGCCUGAUCCAGCCAUGCCGCGUGUGUGAAGAAGGCCUUUUGGUUGUAAAGCACUUUAAGCGAGGAGGAGGCUACUUAGAUUAAUACUCUGGGAUAGUGGACGUUACUCGCAGAAUAAGCACCAGCUAACUCUGUGCCAGCCGCCGCAGUAA
rnacentral:rRNA from 1 species